rnacentral:rRNA from 1 species
UACAUGGGGUGCAAACGUUGCUCGGAAUUAUUGGGCGUAAAGCGCACGUAGGCGGUUCGUUAAGUCGGAUGUGAAAGCCCUCGGCUCAACUGAGGAAGUGCACCCGAAACUGGCGAGCUUGAGUACGAAAGAGGAUCGCGGAAUUCCCGGUGUAGAGGUGAAAUUCGUAGAUAUCGGGAGGAACACCGGUGGCGAAGGCGGCUACCUGGACCAGCAUUGACACUCAAGCACGAAAGCGUGGGGAGCAAACAGG